UGAAGAAAUUUUAUUUAUUACAAAUAUUAUGUGAAGUGCUUGAUAACUGCGCAAAGCGCGAUUCUAUUUACUAGUUAAUAAAAUAAAAGCAUGAUAAAUAAAAGAGAAAAUACAUCAUUUCACUCCUCCUGAACUUGUCCGCAUAACUUACUUUAAACCCUUAACUUUACGGACAGUUAUAUAACCCCCUUAAUAACUUUAAAUUGAAUUAAACUCUACCCUAAGACUGUAAUAUCAGUCUCACUACGAAAGGUGUAUCACACAAGCCGCCACAUCAGUUCCACAUUAUUGCUACGUCAAAAAUUAUUUAAAUUUUGAUUGUUUUUCUUUUCCUCUCUCUCUUCCAUCAAGGUACCUCCAUCUCCAUUAAUAUCUUCUCCAUUGUUUAACUUCAAUAUUUGCUAAUUAAAAAAAUGAAAUUUGACCUUAGAAAAUUCUAAUCUUCAUAAAAUACAACCCCUUUUAUUUUCAUUGUUGAGUUUGUUUAGUGUAUCUACACAAAAAAAGAAAAAAAAAAUCAAAAGUGAGAAUUGAGGUGCAUCAGAGGUUAGGAUUAAGGGAGGAAAGGGAUUGAUGUUUGCAGAAGAAAAAACAAAAUAGAGGGAUUACAAGAAGAAGAAAGAGGUGGGGACGGAUGAUGUUUGAAGAAGAAAAAGUCGGUGGGGGUGAGAAUGUCGUGGAGGUGUGGGACUAUGUUAGAAGGAGAAGGAAUGGGGUUUUGUAAAAAAAAAAUUAGGUAGGCUGGAUGGGUUUGAAGGAGAAGAUUGAUGUUUUUGAAGAUAAAGAAGAGAGCGGGG
rnacentral:lncRNA from 1 species